GUUAGGAUUGCAUUGGUGCAAUUGAUGGGGUCCAUGUCCCCGUCGUCGUUGGUGAGAAUGAGCAGCUCCCAUACUAUAGCAGGAAGGGGACCACCACAACAAAUUGCAUGUGCGCAUGUGACUUUGACAUAAAGUUCACAUUUGCAUGCGUUGGAUGGGAAGGGUCAGCGCAUGACACGAGGAUUUUUUCAAGCUGCCUCAAUGAUGACAGUAACAACUUUCCAAAAGCUCCACUUGGAAAGUAUUAUCUAGUUGAUUCAGGAUACCCUAUGAGAAGAGGGUUCCUUGCACCAUAUAAAGGGGAGAGGUACCACAUUGGAGAAUUUUGACCUUCUGAAGUGUUGCAUCGUCCAGAGGAGAGAUUUAAUUAUCUCCAUUCAUCACUCCAUUCGGUCAUAGUACGAACUUUUGGAGUUUGGAAGAAUAAAUGGGAAAUUUUGAGACAUAUGCCACCCUUUAAGAUGCGCACUCAAAACUUGAUCAUUGUUGCUACAAUGGUUCUUCACAAUUUUGUUAGAGCACAUGAGAUAAACAAUGACGAUUCAUGUUCCAGAUCUAUAGGGGGCAUAUCAUUUGGUAAUGAGAGAGGUUAUUAUGAUGUCGUGGCAGAAGCAAUCUCAAUCUUGGAUGAACCUGAGAUGAAACAGGUUCGUAUGGAUAUCACAGCAUCGAUAUGUGCGGACGAUGACUGAUUUUUGUGGGAACCAUAACUGAUGGUUCACAAACUUUGUGGAUUUGUUUUGUUGGGAAGCAUAAGGAUCAAGUGUUCAAUCUGUAUCUUAGCAACUUUCAGGAAACUUGAUAGUUUAUCCAAAUUCACACAAAAAGUGUUUUGUUGUUGGCAUCGACUAUGUAUUUUUCACAAGUAGAAAUAAGACCAAUUAUCACUUUCGUACUACA